rnacentral:rRNA from 1 species
AACGCGAAGAACCUUACCUGGGCUCGAAAUGUAGUGGAAUGGGGUGGAAACAUCCCCGUCUCGCAAGAGACUGCUAUAUAGGUGCUGCAUGGCUGUCGUCAGCUCGUGUCGUGAGAUGUUGGGUUAAGUCCCGCAACGAGCGCAACCCUUAUCCCUAGUUGCCAUCGGGUCAAGCCGGGCACUCUAGUGAAACCGCUCAGGAUAACUGGGAGGAAGGUGGGGAUGACGUCAAGUCCUCAUGGCCUUUAUGUCCAGGGCUACACACGUGCUACAAUGGUCGGUACAAACCGUCGCAAACCCGUGAGGGGGAGCUAAUCGGAAAAAGCCGGCCUCAGUUCGGAUUGGAGUCUGCAACCCGACUCCAUGAAGCUGGAAUCGCUAGUAAUCGCGGAUCAGAACGCCGCGGUGAAUACGUUCCCGGGCCUUGUA